rnacentral:misc_RNA from 1 species
AACGCACAUUGCGCCCGCCAGCAUUCUGGCGGGCAUGCCUGUCCGAGCGUCAUUUCAACCCUCGAGCCCCCCGGGCUUGGUGUUGGGGACCGGCCGCGCGCCGCCCCCGAAAUGCAGUGGCGACCUCGCCGCAGCCUCCCCUGCGUAGUAGCACAACCUCGCACCGGAGCGCGGAGACGGUCACGCCGUGAAACGCCCAACUUUUCUCAGGAGUUGACCUCGGAUCAGGUAGGAAUACCCGCUGAACUUAA